rnacentral:rRNA from 1 species
UACGAAGGGGGCUAGCGUUGCUCGGAAUCACUGGGCGUAAAGCGCACGUAGGCGGCUUGUUAAGUCAGGGGGUGAAAUCCUGGAGCUCAACUCCAGAACUGCCUUUGAUACUGGCGAGCUUGAGUUCGGGAGAGGUGAGUGGAACUGCGAGUGUAGAGGUGAAAUUCGUAGAUAUUCGCAAGAACACCAGUGGCGAAGGCGGCUCACUGGCCCGAUACUGACGCUGAGGUGCGAAAGCGUGGGGAGCAAACGG